UGAGGAGGAGAAAAAGCUGCUGUGGUUCCAUUAUACAUAUAAAAAACAGUUUUCCCUGUAUUAACAACAGAGCUGGGUGGAGGGGAACUGCAUCAGUAGCACACCAGCCCUGCAGAGCUCAGCUGGAAUGCUGUUCAGAACGGGGAGAGGCUCGGCACUUUGAUAUUGAUGUCUCCGAUGUUGAUGUUGCGGGGAAUCUCGGGCAGGUUCAUGUUCUUCACGGCAGAGACGGCGCGAGCGGGGGCCGCCGACAGACCUCCCUGUCGAAAUAAAACAACAUGAAGCUUUUGGGAAGCGUUGGGAACCUGAUCCACUCAUAGCUGUUCUGCUCAUCUCUUGCCAAGAAUCAUAGCAAACAGCAGUACUUGCCUUCCGCCCUCCAAGAAGUUGCAGACGUUGUCGUCUCUUUUAGAUACCAAAUGGAAAGUCUCCCGAAUGAUCUGCUGCUGCAUGUCCUCCGCCUGCAAGAAAACAUGUUACACAGCGCCAGCCAGUCUAGGAACUGUAGUCUCUGUUUGGUUAAUACAUUCACUCCACCUUUAUUUUAGUCAUAUUUUAUUUUUAACAUUUAGUGAUGGAGUAGAAGCACCAAAGAAAGUUAAAAGAAAAAAAAAAAAAAACUAACUUAUUUAA